rnacentral:rasiRNA from 1 species
CAAUUAAAAUGCAACCUCGACCCU